rnacentral:rRNA from 1 species
AAGCAGUUAAGUUGAUUUCUUCGGAUUGAUUCUUAACUGACUGAGCCUUUAACGGGUGAGUAACGCGUGGGUGACCUGCCCCAUACCGGGCGAUAACAGCUGGAAACGGCUGCUAAUACCGCAUAAGCGCACAGAGCUGCAUGGCUCGGUGUGAAAAACUCCGGUGGUAUGGGAUGGGCCCGCGUCUGAUUAGGCAGUUGGCGGGGUAACGGCCCACCAAACCGACGAUCAGUAGCCGGCCUGAGAGGGCGACCGGCCACAUUGGGACUGAGACACGGCCCAAACUCCUACGGGAGGCAGCAGUGGGGAAUAUUGCACAAUGGGGGAAACCCUGACGCAGCGACGCCGCGUGAGCGAAGAAGUAUUUCGGUAUGUAAAGCUCUAUCAGCAGGGAAGAUAAUGACGGUACCUGACUAAGAAGCCCCGGCUAACUACGUGCCAGCAGCCGCGGUAAUACGUAGGGGGCAAGCGUUAUCCGGAUUUACUGGGUGUAAAGGGAGCGUAGACGGCAAGGCAAGUCUGAUGUGAAAACCCAGGGCUUAACCCUGGGACUGCAUUGGAAACUGUCUGGCUCGAGUGCCGGAGAGGUAAGCGGAAUUCCUAGUGUAGCGGUGAAAUGCGU